AGCGGCCGCGAAAUUCGCCCUUAGAGUUUGAUCCUGGCUCAGGGAGGUAGUGACAAGAAAUAACAAUACAGGGCUUUUCCAAGUCUUGUAAUUGGAAUGAGUACAACUUAAAUCCUUUAACGAGGAUCCAUUGGAGGACAAGUCUGGUGCCAGCACCCGCGGUAAUUCCAGCUCCAAUAGCGUAUAUUAAAGUUGUUGCAGUUAAAAAGCUCGUAGUUGGAUUUCGGGAUGGCCCGGCCGGUCUGCCGCAAGGUAUGUUACUGGCCGAGCUGUUCUUCUUCGCAAAGACUGUGUGUGCUCUUAACUGAGUGUGCUCAGGAUCUGUGACGUUUACUUUGAAAAAAUUAGAGUGUUCAAAGCAAGCCAGCGCUUGGAUACAUAAGCAUGGAAUAAUGGAAUAGGACUUUGGUUCUAUUUUGUUGGUUUCUGGAACCGAAGUAAUGACUAAGAGAGACAGUUGGGGGCAUUCGUAUUUCGUUGUCAGAGGUGAAAUUCUUGGAUUUACGAAAGACGAACUACUGCGAAAGCAUUUGCCAAGAAUGUUUUCAUUAAUCAAGAACGAAAGUUAGAGGAUCGAAGACGAUCAGAUACCGUCCUAGUUCUAACCAUAAACGAUGCCCACUAGGGA
rnacentral:rRNA from 1 species